rnacentral:rRNA from 1 species
UACGUAGGGGGCAAGCGUUGUCCGGAAUCAUUGGGCGUAAAGCGCGUGUAGGCGGUUCGGUAAGUCGGCUGUGAAAGUCCAGGGCUCAACCCUGGGAUGCCGGUCGAUACUGCCGGACUAGAGUUCGGAAGAGGCGAGUGGAAUUCCCGGUGUAGCGGUGAAAUGCGCAGAUAUCGGGAGGAACACCAAUGGCGAAGGCAGCUCGCUGGGACGUUACUGACGCUGAUGCGCGAAAGCCAGGGGAGCAAACGGG